UGUUUAGAAGAGAUGCAUUUAUUAGAUAAAAAACCAAUGCAUGCUUUUAUAGUAUGAAUGUUGGUGAUUUACAAUAACUUAGCAAAUCGCAUAGUGUAAACAGGCGAUAAAUCAUUCAAGUUUCUGACCUAUCAGCUUUCGACGGUAUGGUAUUGGCUUACCGUGGCAGUGACGGUUAACGGGGGAUUAGGGUUCGAUUCCGGAGAGGGAGCCUGAGAAACGGCUACCACAUCUAAGGAAGGCAGCAGGCGCGCAAAUUACCCAAUUCUAACAGCAUAAGAGAGGUAGUGACAAGAAAUAACAGUACAAGGCAGUUAAAAUGCUUUGUAAUUGGAAUGAUGGAAAUUUAAACACUUUUUAGAGUAUCAAUUGGAGGGCAAGUCUGGUGCCAGCAGCCGCGGUAAUUCCAGCUCCAAUAGCGUAUAUUAAAAUUGUUGCAGUUAAAAAGCUCGUAGUUGAAUUUCUGUUAAAAAUAACCGGUCUGCUUUUAAUAAAAGUAUUAUCUUGGUGUGUUUUUAGCAAUAAUGUCCUUUGAAAUGUUUUUUACUUUAUUGUAAUAAAUUAUAUUCAGGAUUUUUACUUUGAGAAAAUUAGAGUGUUUCUAGCAGGCUAAUGCUUUGAAUA
rnacentral:rRNA from 1 species